UCUAAAAGUCACAAGAUGAGAGAGAGAGAGAGAGAGAGAGAGAGAGAGAGAGAGGCCUGCGGUGACUGGAAGACAGGAGGGCAUCUGGUACAUCUGGGAGUGGAAACUUGAUGCCUCUGGGCCAAGAUUUGUCAGGGCCACCGCCUAAGACGCCUAAAGGAGCCUGCUUGUGUGCUGUGGCCAUGUUCUGCUGUGACUGGAUCUUGUCUUCUGCCUGGAGCCUCAAUUUCGGUUCUUCUGGAUUUGGGGAACAACACUGCCUGGCGCAAGGACAUCAAAUGAGACUUCAAAGAAGCAUAGAAUGAAUAGACCAAUCAAACAAAGACCGGGGGCAGCAGUACGCCAGCAAGACAGCAUCUUCUCCCGAGCCUAGAAGUCCUGAGAAACCGAGGAUCUCCACCUAAAACAUUCACAUACAAGAUAUGUGCAAUCAAGCUGCCAGCACUUGGUAAAAGCUCAUGAUGCCUAACCCAAUGAUCCGGAGCAGAUCUUUGAAUCAGCUGUCACUUCUAUAGAAUGGGAUUUCCCCCCUCUUCCUCUUUAACCAGCGCUGGAAACUGCCGAUGGCUUUACACAUUUCAGUAGAGGAAGGCUAAAGAAUCUUCCGUGAGAAUGAAGCAAUUUACAAUGCAAAUAGAGCCCUGCAAAGGGCUGGACGCUGCUGCUCAGUGGAACAGCUUGCUGCUUCUUACUUUCUGAUAUUAAUAGAUGAAUUGCUGGCUAACGCGGCUGGAGAUUACUUGCUGGAAGGGAAAAAAGUUUGGAAUAAACUCUGAAUGCAACAGAUCUUAUUUGGAUGUUUUAGCCGCAGACACUCAGACAGAAACCAGGUCAUGUUUGCAUGAAAGGAGGAAUCUUAAAUGCGGCAAAUAUCCUGGAGGAGUACGCUUGUGUAAAUCCAGAGUGGAUCGGGAUCUGGAGUCCAACCAGAGGAAGACAGCCUUGUGAGGGAAGCGAGUUGUUAUCUUUGGUUAUCUAGCUGUAUGAGUGUAUUGGUCUUCAUAAAGCUAGAUAACCGAAAGUAAAAACUCCUUCAAGAUCACCGAGAGCUGCCAAGAAUGAAAGACUACAACCAAGAGACAGUAAAAACGAGAAAGGUCAGGAAUGCUUAUUGAAUCUAACUUUUUUUGUUCUUAUGAUUAAAAGCGGGAUGCAAGGAAAUUAAGGGACACACAUUCUGAAAUUGAAAGGGGCCAGGUUUUGAGAGGGGCGGUACACUUAGAGGAGAAUUGUGUUGUGUUUUUAUGAGUGAAGAUGCAUGUACUUCUCUAUAUUGUUCUAUUUUGAAACAAACAUUUACAUAAGAGAAUGUUUUCCUUAGAAAGCUGUUACAGUGAUGCCUGAUACCUCGUUUAAAAAUGAUUCCAUAAUCAUGUCGAGUUGGGCAGUUCCCUUCUGAGGCCCCUCCCUCAAGUUUGAAGUUUGUGCUUGGAAACUUUCUAUGUAUUUGGGGCUGAACAUUAAAUUCUAUGAAGUUAGACUUGCAGUAACGCUUAUACUGGAAGGUUAAUAAUUUAUAUCUCCUGAGGCCUUAGAGCUAGCAGGGAAAACGGAGAGGGGGGACGUCUGAUUUUUAUUCUUCUAUUCAAAAUACAAGGACAGAUGCUUCUCUGUUCCGAGAGGGUUUCCUUGAGGAAGCUACUGAAGCAGAAAGACAUGAUGGAGACGAGAUCGCCUCCCCUCUUGUCAAAGUGUUAAAAAAAUGUUCUGUCUUACUCUGCGCCUGGCAUUGGAAAUGAAAGUGACAUUUACGCCACAACCCACGUGUGCGCCUCCUCUCUUUUUGUUUAAGGAUGAUCAGGUCUAUCCAGGAAACAGCUCUGGCAUCCCAAACUGAAAUAAUUAGGACGUAUAUAGACCUGACAAAAAUGGAAAGGGGGUGGGGAAUCUGAGGGUCUGUCUUGCCUAAUUGAUUCCGCUAAACGGAAAGCAGGAGAUGUGAACGGCAGGACGCUCCGAUUCCCACGCUCGGGGGCAAGUGGUAAAGCCUAGUCGGCAGCCUAUGACAGACAGCCCUGUUGGGGGGCAGGGGUAUGAAAAAAAAACCAUCAAGCACACACACCAUACUCAUCUCCAUCGCUUAAGAAAGUAAAGGCAUUUCCCACCCACAGCCAUCUGCAGCCUCCCAAAUGGCAACACCAACUGACUGCUAGUUGCUACGUACUCUUUCUGUGAAUUUUUAAACCACUGUUUAAUCUGGCCAUGAUUAAAUUUGGCUUUCUCCUUGGGUUGAAAUUUUCAUUAUCUAAGGAAAGCAGGUGGAAAGGGAUGCCAAGAACGUCCGUCAGAGAAAUCCUCAGCCUGUGGCUAAGGCCUGGUGGUUACCUUUUGACUUUUGUUUGGGCUGUGCUAUAUUUUAAAGUCAGUCUCAUAACACUCAUUAUGACUUUGUCGAGUUGUUUACUUCUUUCUGUGACACAGGAACUUGGCCUACUUAUGCUAAUCUACAUCCUGGAAAAAAAGCUGUGAAGCCAUCAGCUUGUAGAAAGUUGAUCACAAUCACAAUGUGUUUAAAACUAGUUUUAGGACAGUCCUAGCACGAUGUGGUCUACACAGUAUUUUCUUUUCUUUCUGACUUUACCUAAAAGUAAUUACUCCUACCAUAAACUUUGAGGUUUUGGAGAAAUCCAUUAUAAUCCUUUUCUAAAAUUCCUUAUAUUUUGUUACAUGUUGUCAGGCAAACAUUUUUAUAGGCGUUUGCACAUAAAUACAAUCAUUGCAAUAAAAAAUGUCUAAAAUUGCCUGUUAUCUUCCACAUGGCCUAAAUUAGUGUUACUUCCAAAUACAUAAUUUUUCUUCAGGGACAGUGCAUUUUUUCUUUACUGCUUCAUCUUCUUAUAAGAUUGAGAUUGGAAAAGUCUGUAAAACCCCUGUUAGCUUCACUUAGAAAAGCUGAGACUUUAAUAACGCAAUUUCUCAGUUUGGCUGCUGAACACGUGCCGAAGUUUUACUGUGGUAGUGACUGUUGAGAAGACUCAUGUUUAUUUACCUUUGAAGCAGUGUUUGUGCAAACAAGCUUUCAUUGUAAAGGGCCUGUGCUCCUUUCAUUUGCCCCGUGUCCAGGGGUGCUAUUUACCUAGAACCAUUGUCUACUACAAUUUACAUUUACAUUACAAAGUGUGUGGUUUUCUUUCUCAAGGAGGUUCAAUUAAGGCAAUAAGAUGUUUGCUGGGGAAACCUAUUGUUUACUCAAAGCACUCAAUGGAGUCAAAUUACUGAAGUUUUUGCCUACAUCUUGGUUGUUUAUGUAAAUAUGUUAACUAUAACAUCUAAGGAAAAUAAACAAUAUUAAAAUUAUGUGUUUGCCAUUGUCAUAUCAAACUUGCUUUGUAUCAUACUAAUGUUACAUAACUUAUCGAUCAAUAAAAAUACAUUUCAAUGUUAUUUUCAUUUUAUUUUUUGCUGUUCCACUGCUCUGGCUGCAACAUGUCCCAAAUUUUCUUUUUUCUAUUACACA